UGGGGAAUAUUGCACAAUGGGCGCAAGCCUGAUGCAGCCAUGCCGCGUGUGUGAAGAAGGCCUUCGGGUUGUAAAGCACUCUCAGCGAGGAGGAAGGUGGUGAGCUUAAUACGCUCAUCAAUUGACGUUACUCGCAGAAGAAGCACCGGCUAACUCCGUGCCAGCAGCCGCGGUAAUACGGAGGGUGCAAGCGUUAAUCGGAAUUACUGGGCGUAAAGCGCACGCAGGCGGUUUGUUAAGUCAGAUGUGAAAUCCCCGGGCUCAACCUGGGAACUGCAUUUGAAACUGGCAAGCUAGAGUCUCGUAGAGGGGGUAGAAUUCCAGGUGUAGCGGUGAAAUGCGUAGAGAUCUGGAGGAAUACCGGUGGCGAAGGCGGCCCCCUGGACGAAGACUGACGCUCAGGUGCGAAAGCGUGGGGAGCAAAACAGGAUUAGAUACCCUGGUAGUCCACGCUGUAAACGAUGUCGAUUUUGGAGGUUGUGCCCUUGAGGCGUGGCUUCCGGAGCUAACGCGUUAAAUCGACCGCCUGGGGAGUACGGCCGCAAGGUU
rnacentral:rRNA from 1 species